rnacentral:lncRNA from 1 species
UCGGCACUAUUUUUUUCUGCACAGCGCAAAUCAAAUGACAUCAUGAAUUUCUCUAAACCUCGAGGGUGACACAGCCCUUUGGAAUCCAGUGCUGUGAGCGCUCAGUGCUUGUGAGUAGCCGGGCUGCGUCCCUGCCUCCCCAACUCAGGCAGAGCAGAGGCCUCAGGCUUUCAGGGAGUGAACAGGAAGGAAAACACAGGAGCCAGCAGAUACCGAGAAAGCGUCUGCUGAGUUUGAGUCCUGGCCCAGUGGGUUGUGCCAGCAGGAAAGUGACUUCCAUGGGACGAGGCGUAUCACCUGCACCCAAGGCGCAGGGAGCGGUGGUCACAUUUCGUGCACCUAGAGAUUCUUGGGGACCCUCAAGAGCUGCGUCUCCUCUCGUCCUGAUGGCACCUGGUGCAGCAUGACUUCUGGACACAUCCCUGGGAUGCCAGUGAGAUUUCUGCCCAUCAAGGGCGCCCAGGAAAAUCCAGCCAGAAGGAAGAGAGCUAAGCACACAAGGAUCCAAGGAUCUGAGCAGGCCCCGCCCGACUCAGGGACAUGGACCCUCGGCCUUGCUGAUGAACACCUGCCCCCACACUGCCUCUCCUGCCUGAGCUUCUUUCCAAAGACCCAGCGCACACAAGACUUCACUCGUGUGUGUCGUGUGUUGUGGGACAAGACCCACUGCAGGCCUGGCAUCAUCCACACGGAGCCACUGAGAGCAUGAGCAAGAGGCUGGGCCCAACCAGAGAAGGCGCCCAGCAUGGAUGUCUAGCUGCCAUACCAGCCAGGCCGUCCAAGUGGGGAGUGGACAGAUAAAGGCACUGGCAGGUGUUUCCCGAGGUCCCUGCCCACCUGGACAAACAGAACAAUGGCAGGAUGGAUGGACAGUUCCACCAGGACUGUGUCCCCAGAAGCUGCGGCUCCCUGGUUGUCAUCAGGGUCUCUCCACGUGGAUGUGUCCAGCCAGAUCUGUGGGGAAUUAUGCUUGGUCCAGCUGGCAUGUUCUCGUUGUCCUCUGACCCCGCAGGGCCCCAGAAAUCCCGAGGUCCUCAGUUCUAAUCCCACGACGCAGGCCCCGGGGAUGGAGCCCCCUCUGCUCUCCAGUCCCGCCCCUCCCAAGUGAACCAGCGGAGGGCUUUGGAGGCCACAGGCAAAGCUCGCCUGCACUUGGGCACAUCCCUGUGGAGUGUCAAGCGACCCACUCAAGAGCCGCAUUCCAGCCCUCUCAUGGCAGCUGGCCUGUCCCUGUGUGGGGACUCGGCACGGGACGUGGUAUUUAUAGUCCGCAUCGCGGGUCCCGCCUCACCACGCGUUUCUGCAGCAGGAGAGAGCGAGCCACAUGGAUCCCGACCGUGAAUGAAUAAGACUCCUUCCCUUGCCCAUUAGCCCCGGAGUCAGCCUUUGGUCAUCUAAGGCAAGUCCUUGUCCACAGCAAACCAACCAAGCGCCACCUCAGGAAGCCACUUUUUGCAACAGUCUUCACAUGUGGAUGAUACAAAGGCAUUUGAAAAGUCAGGAUCAAUGACCACUCUGCUGCCACGAUUUCCCCCUUUCCGCAUGGAUGUUGACCCUUCAGAAGUUUGGUUGUGUUAGGACGGCGUGCCAUCUCCUCCCUGAGGUCCCGCUGCCCUCCAUCCAGAAGGCGGGCUCCAUGGACACGCCCUAUACUCUGCUUUUCACUGAGAGUGGGCAGCAGGUUCACCCAAGAGCUGUGAGCAAAUCCGCUGAGGGACUGGCUCCCUCCACCCCCAGGGUUCCAUCCUUCAAGCCCACGAUGGCUUUCCUGCUCCAUCCACGGUUGGGCUCGCAGGGUGGGUCAACUGCACUGUGCGGUGGAAUCCUGUCUCCCAGCUGUAACCUGUCACCUGCCCCAUGACCUGCACGGCCUCCCCGAUCUGCUCACAUCAGUGUUUACAGACUGUGUUCUGCUCCACAGAAAGGAGUGUCCCGUGGUUGAAUACUUAUGGAAGCCUCUGGAGAUUAUAGUCCCCUGUAAGAGAUCCAGAAAGCGUACUCAAAAUGCACAGAACUCCCGCCGCACGGAAGCCCGUUCACAUUCGUGUCACCCCACACGUCCUGGGGGUCUUUGGACUGGAGCCAUCUUGCCCGUCUGCCCCAAGAGGGUGCCUCUCUGCCCACCGCGCCUCCCUCUCUGGCCCUGCUCUUCCAGCCUGAAAAGUCAGCCCACACCUCUUUCCCCAUAAAUCUUCCCCUCCUUUCACUGCCGACCGUGCACUCCCUCACAUUCCCUCAGCUCUCAAGGUCCCUGUAACACGAUGUACCAUCCGAUCUGAGAUGCAUGUUUUAUGGACGUUGGGCCAAGAGUCCUUUGAAAGUGGGAGUCACGUUCUGUUCCUUCCCUGUGCCUGGACCAGCACGGAGCAGGCACAGACCGGCCAGCACUCCUCAGCUGCUGGACCUUUUCCCAAUGCUUAGUCGCUCGGCGUCCCUCCUCCUGGAUGGCUUGGCUGGGUUUGCUCAUUAGUGCCUCUACCAGGGAUGAAGGGCGGGGGAUGAAAGGCAGAGCUGGCGCCCUGUGUCAUUAGCCAACUCCUAACAUGGUGCAGGGGUUUGCUUGGCCAAAGGGAAUUGUUUGUAUAUUUCUGUAUUUGAAGAGCCGAAGGAGAAAUUUCCUCUCCAGUGUGUGUCUGUGUGUCUGUCUGUGUCUGUGUAUAUGUGUGUCUCUGUCUGUAUAUCUACAGAUGUAUGUAUGUCUAUGUUAUGUCUGUAUACGUGUCUGCGUACAUGUCUAUGUAAGUGUGUACGUAUGUCUGCACAUGUCCAUGUGUGUCUCUGGAUAUUUGUGUGUGUCUGUUAUGUCUGUGUAUGUGUGUCUCUGUCUGUGUCUGUGUGUCUCUGAAUGACUCUGUGUAUGUAUGUUUAUGGAUGCAUGUUGUAUAUGUCUCUAGGCUUCUUUGUGUGUCUGUAUAUGUGUGUGUGUUUGUAGAUGUGUGUGUGCAUGGAUGUGGUGUCUACACUCAUGUGAACCCAGGGCACCCACAGUUGGUCCAGCCUACUCUCUGACACAGGACACCUGAGUCUUGCAGGCAUCCUGAGUGUCCUCAGUGAUGGCCAUGUCGUCGCAGCUUCCCCAUCCUCCCGGCCUCUGUCCCCUGGGUUUUCCACUGCACCACGGUGUCCAGACCCUGGAGCAGUAGGACACUGAGUUUCAACAUGUCCUCCAACUGCAGCCCACCGCUUGCAGCCUGGAGGGGACAGCCCAGCUGAGUUGCAUCUCUGCAUGUCCCAGGAACCCGGCCUGGCUCCAGAGCCAGCCCUGCCAGUUCUGUGGGGAGAUGCCUCUAGAAAUGUCACAACCAGCAUGUCACUGGCUUCUCCACCUCCUUUGCUUUCUAGACCAAAUGAUGACCAGACGUGGGCCUGGGCCACUCAGCUCUUCAGAGGCUCUGGGCCUUGCCCGCACCAAUUCACCGAGUGGGAAGCCCUGGAGGGGUGGCCCUCAGUGCCCACACCACAUCGGUCCACGAUGGAAGCUUUACCUGCUCGGCCAUCCCUUGGCGUGGCGACUUUCAUUUCUUGCAAAUGAUGAUGAUCUCUUCUUUCUUUCCCUGGAGACCUCAAACAUUCCUCUUUACAUUUGAAGUUCCCAAAUGAAUAUUUUUAAAAUGUAUUCUGCUGUGAAUUUGCCUUGUAAAUAGGGCCGGCUACCUCAUUUGCAGGACUCAGUGCAUUUUAAAAUGUGGGACCCUUGUUCAAAAGGCAGGAAAACAGCACUUAAUGAUACCAAAAUAUAAAGCUCUCCUUUCCUCCAUUUUUUCUUGACUUGCCG